rnacentral:rRNA from 1 species
AACGAACGCUGGCGGCGCGCCUAAUACAUGCAAGUCGAGCGAGAAGACGUAGCAAUACGUUUGUAAAGCGGCGAACGGGUGAGGAAUACAUGGGUAACCUACCCUCGAGUGGGGAAUAACUAGCCGAAAGGUUAGCUAAUACCGCGUACGCUCCUUGGACUUCGGUUCAGGGAGGAAAGCGAUACCGUGGGUAUCGCGCUCUUGGAUGGGCUCAUGUCCUAUCAGCUUGUUGGGAGGUAACGGCUCACCAAGGCUUCGACGGGUAGCUGGUCUGAGAGGACGAUCAGCCACACUGGCACUGCGACACGGGCCAGACUCCUACGGGAGGCAGCAGUAAGGAAUAUUGCGCAAUGGGCGAAAGCCUGACGCAGCGACGCCGCGUGGGGGAUGAAGGUCUUCGGAUUGUAAACCCCUUUCGGGAGGGAAGAUGGAAU